rnacentral:rRNA from 1 species
UACGAAGGGGCUAGCGUUGCUCGGAAUUACUGGGCGUAAAGCGCACGUAGGCGGAUUGUUAAGUCGGGGGUGAAAUCCUGGAGCUCAACUCCAGAACUGCCUUCGAUACUGCCGUGCUUGAGGACUGGAGAGGAGACUGGAAUUUACGGUGUAGCGGUGAAAUGCGUAGAUAUCGUAAGGAAGACCAGUGGCGAAGGCGGGUCUCUGGACAGUUCCUGACGCUGAGGCGCGAAAGCGUGGGGAGCAACAGG